rnacentral:rRNA from 1 species
GAUGAACGCUGGCGGCGUGCCUAAUACAUGCAAGUCGAGCGAACAGACGAGGAGCUUGCUCCUCUGACGUUAGCGGCGGACGGGUGAGUAACACGUGGAUAACCUACCUAUAAGACUGGGAUAACUUCGGGAAACCGGAGCUAAUACCGGAUAAUAUAUUUAACCGCAUGGUUCAAUAGUGAAAGACGGUUUUGCUGUCACUUAUAGAUUGAUCCGCGCCGCAUUAGCUAGUUGGUAAGGUAACGGCUUACCAAGGCAACGAUGCGUAGCCGACCUGAGAGGGUGAUCGGCCACACUGGAACUGAGACACGGUCCAGACUCCUACGGGAGGCAGCAGUAGGGAAUCUUCCGCAAUGGGCGAAAGCCUGACGGAGCAACGCCGCGUGAGUGAUGAAGGUCUUCGGAUCGUAAAACUCUGUUAUUAGGGAAGAACAAAUGUGUAAGUGACUAUGCACGUCUUGACGGUACCUAAUCAGAAAGCCACGGCUAACUACGUG